CAGAGCCCGAUGUGGGGCUUGAACUCGUGAACCACGAGCUCAUGACCUGAGCUGAAACCAGGAUUCGGACACUUAACCGACUGAGCCACCCGGGUGCCCUUCUUUUUUAACCUGUCAUCACUCCCUGCAGAUUUAGUCUGUGCAGAAUAGGUCCUGGAGUUUGGAGAAGGCAGGUCACCGUGAGUGUAUGGGGUGAGUGUAGGCAGUUUCUCUAGUGAGGAUCUUGGUCUGCAGGGAAGGGUCAGCCUUGCCUCUCCCAUCAAGGCCUGGAGAAAGAAAGACUCUCUCCCAAAUGCGAUUCCUUUUUUCCAUAAGAGUCUUUAGGGGCAGUCUGUCCUAUGUCUGGGUGAGGGUCCAAGAUCCAGAGAGGGAUCUAAGUUAAACCUUAAUUCUAGCCCCAGACUCUGACAGCUUCCUCCUGAGACACCCAGCCCUUCCCUCCCCAGAACACCUAAUGCCCACAGAGAUGGUGGGUGCUUUGCCUAAAGAAAUGCUGAGUGGGAGAACGGAGGGUCCGGCAUUUACAUGGGUUUGCCUAAGCAGGACUCUGGGCAGGUGCCUGGACUCUGGCCAGGAUCGGGCUGGGGUGGGGGCAGUUGCUGUAAACCUCAGAACCUGUGGCUUCAGACAAUGAUUGUCCUUGGCCAAAAGACGGGAGAUGAGAAACCCGGGCCAUACAUCAUUAAUUCUGGAGAGUCCUAGCUCUCUUACCUGGGCUGGAAUGGCUCCUAGCUGUUUCUGUGUCCCAACCUCCUUUGAGAAGCAGAUAAAAACAAUCUGCCCUCUCCCCACCAAAAUGUGCAUACCCACAGUGUUGUCGAGGGUUGCUGGGCUCAUACAGAGACCAGGAAGCCCAUGAUCUCUGGGCUGAGUCUCCCUUGCUUCUUGUGACCCAUCUCCCGUUAUCUCCUUUUGCUUGUACCCUCCCUGAGUGCCUCUGCUUAGGAGUCAGGCAGUUCUUCUCUGCCACUCUUGGCAGAGCUCUCUUCCUUCUUUCCCUUUCUAGAGCAGGCACCAGGCACAGGCCUUGCUUAUGCCGAGCUCCCGAUCGGCUCUCCUGCAGAAACCAGGAGAGUGGCUAUUAACUGAAGCCUGGUCUACACUGCCCUACUACUCCACUCAUCUGGGGGGGGGGGGGGGUGGGCAGGGGGAGGGAUCCUGAGGGCAUAGUGACAGCAUGGAGGCCUGGCUAUAAGGGGUCUAAUUCCCAUUUCUAGUGGAAACUUGGAUGCAAGGAGCAAGUUGCAAUUGCUAUGAUAAUAGUCAUAAUAAUAACAAUAAUAAUUUAUUUAGCAUAUCAUUAGAUGUGUAUUUACUGUCUUCCCUCUGCUUUUUUACAAGUGUCUCCUAAGGAAUUCUCACAACACCCAGGGGAAACAAUAAUAAGCUAAUUACCACCCUCCGGCUCCUCCUCCUCCCAUCCACGGAGCACUUACACAGCCCCUCCUCGUGUUUACACCUAUUUAGCACAGUCUCCCCUUCCCAAUUCUCCUCUCCCAUUCCCAGUUUUUCCCAUCCCUGUUAAGGGAACACUCAUCUGGGGUGGGGGGAAAGGUUGGGGAGGAGAGUAGCUGAGCCCCAGAGAGUUUUGAGUAUUAAUGUUGUUUCCCUGGCCUCACAGCAAUGUUUAGGAUGAUGUGGGAGGAACCAGAUUCUUCUCUGAUUGUGCUUUGGGGGGCAGAAAUUGCCUGCACAUCGUUUAGAGGCAGACUGGGUUAGAGAGGGGACGGGUGCCUGCAUGAUGCCAGAACAUCUGAGUCAAGUGCAGGAGAAUGGCUGGUCCUGCAAAUGUAAUAUCGGUAUCAGGGGCUUUCAGACUGUUCAGGCCAGACCUCAGAGAUGCCGGGCCCCAUCUAUCCCCCUGGUCUCUUUUGGCAUUGAGAAAAGAAAGAAAAGGGAAGGGAAGGGAAGGGAAGGGAAGGGAAAGGAAGGAGACACGUGCAUAUAUAUAUAUGCAUGUGCAUAUAUACAUUUGUAUAUGCACACAUUUUCGCACAUAUAUUUUUCCUGAGUGAAUAAUCAUGACCAUGGCUACACUUUUUAAAAUACUCAUUUCCUUCCACUUUAAAUAAAAAAUCGUAUCUUCUCAGAGAUUACAAUGAAAACACAAACCAGACACAUGUUUUUGGAUGACGGAUUGCGAGUAGUCUCUUGGACCACCUAAAAAGCCCCCUGGAGUCCCAGUGAUCUGUGGAGCUCACUUCCUCAGCCCCAGCGCAGGGUGGAGAGCCAGAGUCAAUGUCAUGAGAGUCUUCAUCACAGACAGAGCAGCUUGGCCUGUCAUUGAGAUCCUGGGUGUUGCUGCCCAGAUACCCAGACCCUAAGGUCAGCCUCUACCUCGCUGCCCAAGUACGCAGUUCACCUGGGAAGAAGCGAGUCUAGGCUAGAGGACACAAAAACCAGUCCCUAUCAUGGAGGCAGCCAUCCAUCCUCUCUGUGGAUAAGGCUAUCUUCACCCCGAACCUAAGGUUUCCAAGCUGCUUAGAGGAAUCCAGAACUCUCUCUCUGCAUCUUUAUUACUGAUAAAGUCAUAUUACAGUAAUAUUACUGAUUACAGAUCUUGAGAGAUGAAAUGAAGUUGGAAAGAAACUGGAUUCAUCCAGGUAAAAAGAACAUUAUGCACAAUUUAUCACGAUGUGAGCUUCUGUUUGUUCUGAACAUGGUGGUCAUUCAUUCCAUGACUUAGUUCCAAUUUAUGGACAGUGUCUUGAAGCCCCCUCAGUACUCAUAACCAUAAUCGCUUCCAUUUAGAGAAGAUGACUAUAUGCCAGGUGCUUUAUACUGAAUUUGAUGAGGAAAUGUAAUCUCAGAAAGGUUAAGUCACCUGCCCAAGGUCACAUAGCCAGGUUUGAACCAGGUUUCCCCAUCUGCUAUGUUUUAACACUUCCAAGUCAUGCCUCGUGGGUUAGAUAAACAGCAGAUAGUCAUGGCAAUGAAACUGAUAUUUAAAAAAAAAAACAGUUUUACAUCCUAUGGACAUACCGGGGGGGGGGCGGGGGGGGGGGGGAGGGCACUUGUACACUGGCUCCUACAGUGGCCAAUCCAAGUGCAUGCACACUAUUGGCAUUUUUCUCUCUCUGAAUUCAGUGUUACUGGCAGCCCCUGUGAUUUCUCAGCAUAAUGACUGCCCUCACCACUUGGAGUCCACCCCUUUCCCAUAGCUGAGGCCUCUGGGUUCUAGGGGAGCCCUUGACUUUCCAGUACCCCAGGCAGAGUCUAGCUUCCUCACCAGGGUCAGCCGAUGUGAAACUGAGAAGUAUCUCGAGAUUAAUCUUCAGAACCCCUCACUCCCUGAGCAUCCCUCCCCCAACUCCCCAGCAGUGCUUUCCUUGUUCUAUCCUUGUUUGAUAAACUACCCCAGCGGUGCUUUUCUAUUUGAAAGGAUGUGAUCUGCAGAGGACCGCACUUAACACCUCGUGCUCUAAUGGUGGAGCUCACGGCAUUUCAGUGGCGAGAUAAUUGGGGAGGGGGAAACAGAGUCUUCCCAGGGGCUUUAAACUGCAUCAAUGCAUAAGGCUGAUCCUGCACCUCAUUAUCCAUUAACUUCAGAUGAAAGCUAUCAAAUUGGAUCCCUUAUUCUGAUAUUUGAAACUGAGCAGACAGGGGGCUGAUUUCUCUGCUUUCACCUGACUGCUGGCACCAGGCAGAUACCCUGCCAUUGUCCUGCCUCAUCUUGCCUUUGCCUCCCUCCCCUGGGGGGCAGGGUCCCUAAGGGACACAGCCCCCCAUGGUGUGGCUGCAGGGGCCCGGUGGAAAAGGUUGAGUUGUCAAAUGAGGAGACACCACAGCUAACACCCCCUCUCCCCCACCCCCCACCAACUCUGGAAUGAAGAUGGAGAGUUUUCUGUGCCUGGUUUGGUUCACGGAGACACAUAGUCCAUCAUUUGAUUUUCUACAAAGAGUAUUCCUUCCCUGCCCCCCAGCAUCCUCUAGUUUUUUUUCUCAGAGCUGGAAGGAUCUUAGUGAUGUCCUAAUCGAACCACUUCAUUGUGAAGGAAGGGAAACUGAGGCUCAGACAGACACCAGGACCCAGGUAUUUCGAUCCCUAAGCCGUGCUGCAUCUGGCUCUCUUUGCACUUCAGCUGAAUACUUUUUUCAUCGCUCCCUCUAAACCCCAGGAUCCAAGCUUACCUUCCAUGGCAGUCUACACAGACACCAACAAACGCCAUGAUGGCGGAGCCCUCCCAGCCCAGGAGCGACCACUUUUGGGCACAGGCUUCAGCAUACCCACACCAUGCUCCAUAAUCCCGCUAGAGCCCAUCUGUGAUUUCUGUGAAGUUAAAGGGUCUCUCUGUUCCCCAGGUUUCUGCCCCACUCCCCAGAGCUGGCCAGGGCCUGCAGAGGGGCUGGAGGGCUCAGGCAGAGAGCAAAUGGGUAAACACAACUUUUGUUCCUCGUAGCCUCACGUGAGGACCGAGGCUGCUUUGAAUAGAGAAGUUUCCUUAAUAUGCUGUCAAAGGAAAGAAACCUGUCUCAUCGUCCAACUCUGAUGACUGAAGCGCGGGGAAGGGAGUUGAGCUUAAUUAGCAUUAGGAAUGCUGAUUCCACAUAAGAAAGAACUUGCCAGCCGGGAGAGUCGUCUGACCUGACGACUGGGAUCUCUGAAUACACCAGUAUUUCAGGUGUGCUUAUAAGAAGAAAUUAGAACACAGACACAGAGAAAAGACCACAGGAAGCCAGGACCACGUGAAGAAGACCAUCCACAAGCCAAGGAGAGAGACCCCGAAAGAAACCAAGCCUGCCAACACCUUGAUCUUGGACUUCUAAACAUCCAGAACGGCAAAAGAAAUAAAUUUCUAUUGUUUAAGCCGCCCGGUGUGUGGUACUUUAUUAGGGCAACCCCAGCAAACUAAUACAGUGUCUAAGUAUGUCUCAGCCAUUGAUUUGAUUUGCCGGGAGAUCUCGGACAUUUAAAACUCUCUAAGCCUCAGUUUCCACAUGAGCCCAAAGGUCCCAUCUUGUGAGUCCCGGGAAAGGGAAAGCCCUGCUUACACUACACAAUGUUUACUUUCAUGGCAUUGUAAGUUGGCACAGUUCCAGAUACAUGUCCUCAUCCAGUCACACACACAGCCCUGCAUCACCGCCUUAUCCUUCCAAAAUGGUACAGUCAACGUACACAGCCCGUUCCCUAGCCGAAAUGCGAGUGUAGAUUCAACUUUCAACACAAACGUAUUUGGGUCCCCUGACUCAGAGGCUGUGGCUGCUCGUGCACCUCACCAAAAUUGGUGGAAAUGACAAUAUUUUAGUCAGUUGACUGGUUUUGGUGAACUUGGUGCCACAGAGCCCCACUGGUCUAUCCCCACUU